CCUACGGGGGGCAGCAGUGGGGAAUAUUGGACAAUGGGGGGAACCCUGAUCCAGCGACGCCGCGUGAGUGAAGAAGUAUUUCGGUAUGUAAAGCUCUAUCAGCAGGGAAGAAAGAAAUGACGGUACCUGACUAAGAAGCCCCGGCUAACUACGUGCCAGCAGCCGCGGUAAUACGUAGGGGGCAAGCGUUAUCCGGAUUUACUGGGUGUAAAGGGAGCGUAGACGGCGAUGCAAGUCUGCAGUGAAAGGCGGGGGCCCAAACCCCGGACUGCUUUGG
rnacentral:rRNA from 1 species